GACGAACGCUGGCGGCGUGCUUAACACAUGCAAGUCGAACGGAAAGGCCCUGCUUUUGUGGGGUGCUCGAGUGGCGAACGGGUGAGUAACACGUGAGUAACCUGCCCUUGACUUUGGGAUAACUUCAGGAAACUGGGGCUAAUACCGGAUAGGAGCUCCUGCUGCAUGGUGGGGGGUGGAAAGUUUAGGCGGGUGGGGAUGGACUCGCGGCUUAUCAGCUUGUUGGUGGGGUAGUGGCUUACCAAGGCUUUGACGGGUAGCCGGCCUGAGAGGGUGACCGGCCACAUUGGGACUGAGAUACGGCCCAGACUCCUACGGGAGGCAGCAGUGGGGAAUAUUGCACAAUGGGCGGAAGCCUGAUGCAGCAACGCCGCGUGCGGGAUGACGGCCUUCGGGUUGUAAACCGCUUUCGCCUGUGACGAAGCGUGAGUGACGGUAAUGGGUAAAGAAGCACCGGCUAACUACGUG
rnacentral:rRNA from 1 species